CGAACGGGUGAGUAACACGUAAACAAUCUGCCUGCAGAUUCGGGAUAACCUUGCCAACGCGGGGCUAAUACCGGAUGUGGUCGGCGGUCCGCAUGGACUGUUGAUUAAAGAUACGCAAGAGUCGUCUGCAGAUGAGUUUGCGUCCCAUUAGCUAGUUGGCGGGGUAACGGCCCACCAAGGCGAUGAUGGGUAGCCGGCCUGAGAGGGUGAACGGCCACAUUGGGACUGAGAUACGGCCCAGACUCCUACGGGAGGCAGCAGUAGGGAAUUUUGCGCAAUGGGCGGAAGCCUGACGCAGCAACGCCGCGUGAGUGAUGACGGCCUUCGGGUUGUAAAGCUCUGUUGGACGGGAAGAAAAGACGCAUGAAGAGUGCGUUAUGACGGUACCGUUCGAGGAAGCUCCGGCUAACUACGUGCCAGCAGCCGCGGUAAUACGUAGGGAGCGAGCGUUGUUCGGAAUUACUGGGCGUAAAGGGAGCGUAGGCGGGUUUGUAAGUUAGGGGUUUAACGCACGGGCUUAACCCGUGUCCGGCCUUUAAUACUGCAAGUCUUGAGUGUGGGAGAGGGCGAUGGAAUUCCAGGUGUAGCGGUGGAAUGCGUAGAUAUCUGGAAGAACACCGACAGCGAAGGCAGUCGCCUGGCCCGAUACUGACGCUGAAGCUCGAAAGUCGGGGGAGCAAACAGGAUUAGAUACCCUGGUAGUCCCGACCGUAAACGAUGAACACUAGUUGCCGGGAGAGUCAAUCCUUUCGGUGACGAAGCUAACGCAUUAAGUGUUCCGCCUGGGGAGUACGCCCGCAAGGGUGAAACUCAAAGGAAUUGACGGAAUCAC
rnacentral:rRNA from 1 species